UACGGGGUGCAGCAGGCGCGAAAACUUUACAAUGCUGGCAACAGCGAUAAGGGAACCUCGAGUGCCAGGUUACAAAUCUGGCUGUCGAGAUGCCUAAAAAGCAUUUCAUAGCAAGGGCCGGGCAAGACCGGUGCCAGCCGCCGCGGUAAUACCGGCGGCUCGAGUGGUGGCCGCUAUUACUGGGCUUAAAGGGUCCGUAGCUUGAUAACUGGGUCCCUUGAGAAAUCCGCCAGCUCAACUGGCGGGCGUUCAGGGGAAACUUGUUUUCUAGGGACCGGGAGAGGUAAGAGGUACUACAGGGGUAGGAGUGAAAUCUUGUAAUCCCUGUGGGACCACCUGUGGCGAAGGCGUCUUACCAGAACGGGUUCGACGGUGAGGGACGAAAGCUGGGGGCACGAACCGGAUUAGAUACCCGGGUAGUCCCAGCCGUAAACGAUGCUCGCUAGGUGUCAGGCAUGGCGCGACCGUGUCUGGUGCCGCAGGGAAGCCGUGAAGCGAGCCACCUGGGAAGUACGGCCGCAAGGCUGAAACUUAAAGGAAUUGGCGGGGGAGCACAACAACGGGUGGAGCCUGCGGUUUAAUUGGACUCAACGCCGGGAAUCUCA
rnacentral:rRNA from 1 species